rnacentral:rRNA from 1 species
AAUCAACGCUGGCGGCGUGCCUAACACAUGCAAGUCGAACGAGAAGGUGACUUCGGUCACUGGAUAGUGGCGUCCGGGUGAGUAACACGUAGGUAAUCUACCUUCGGUGGGGAAUAACGUCUCGAAAGAGACGCUAAUACCGCAUAAUGCAGCGGCACCUAAUGGUGAUUAGUUGUUAAAGCGGGGGAUCUUCGGACCUCGCGCCUGAAGAGGAGCCUGCGGCAGAUAGCUAGUUGGUGAGGUAAUGGCUCACCAAGGCUUCGAUCUGUAGCUGGUCUGAGAGGACGGCCAGCCACACUGGCACUGACACACGGGCCAGACUCCUACGGGAGGCAGCAGUGGGGAAUUUUGGGCAAUGGGCGAAAGCCUGACCCAGCAACGCCGCGUGAAGGAGGAAAUCCUUCGGGAUGUAAACUUCAUAAGUAAGGGAAGAAAGCUGCGGAUCGAAUAAGUCCGCAGUCCGACGGUACCUUACGUAAGCCACGGCU